rnacentral:tRNA from 1 species
GGAUUUGUAGCUUAGUGGUAGAGCAGGGCCCUCUUAAGGCCAAGGUCGUGGGUUCAAUCCCCACCAGAUCCACCA